UACGUAAGGUGCAAGCGUUGUCCGGAAUUAUUGGGCGUAAAGAGCUCGUAGGCGGUUUGUCGCGUCUGCUGUGAAAACUGGAGGCUCAACCUCCAGCCUGCAGUGGGUACGGGCAAACUAGAGUGCGGUAGGGGAGAUUGGAAUUCCUGGUGUAGCGGUGGAAUGCGCAGAUAUCAGGAGGAACACCGAUGGCGAAGGCAGAUCUCUGGGCCGUAACUGACGCUGAGGAGCGAAAGCGUGGGGAGCGAACAGG
rnacentral:rRNA from 1 species